rnacentral:tRNA from 1 species
GGCUUGGAGGGCAGCCGGAAGCUGGUCUGCCGCUCGGGCCGGCGGAGCCGGGGCGGCCGGUUGUAGUCGAGCCCGAGGCC